CAAAUGGCACGUAUGUUGGCAUUUUUCUAUGGCUUUGGACAUGGCCAAGGCUCUUGAUGACUUAAAAGAAAAUCAUCAGCUAUUUCCUUCCUGAUAGCUAUACUACAUUAAAGGAGCCUUGAGGUUUUGUUUAGAAAAGCACACUGACAUGUAACCAAUGACAUAUAUAUUUCCACCUUAUUUUGUUUAGUGCAACUCACUUAAAAUUUUUAGCUGUCAGAGGAAUAUUCUUUCCAUCUUACAGCUUAUUUGACAAUCUAAUGAACUUUACACUUAUCUGAAGGUCAAAUGUAAAUUUUAAGGCAUCAGGAAAUAAAGAGUUCUCUUUGUGGUAAAGGAAGCAAUGUGGGAUAGGUUUCCUGUCUUAAACUUAGCAUUAGAUCAUAGGUUUCUGGGGGGCCCGUGACAUCAAGCAAGCAAAGUGAUGGAGCAAUAGCAGCCCAUGAAUCACAUGACGGCAGAGGAGGAAACUGAACAAUUAUCCCAAGUCUAGCUAGACGGUUAACGCCCAUGCUGGGGAAUAGCUGUGCCACCCUUCUGUAGCUCUGAGCUGGGCAAACAGUGGGUUUCUGGGAAAGCUGCUGUUUGCAUGACUAAAUAAUAAGAGGCUGUCUAAGAUAGGUGUGGUGUCCUUGGGUGGCGCAAAUGGUUAAACGCUUAGCUGCUGACCAAAAGGUUGGUGGUUUGAAUCUACUCAGAGGUGCCUUGGAAGAAAGAUGAGAGAUGUACUUCUGAAAAAUCAGACACCGGAAACUCUGUGGAGCACAAUUCUACUCUGACACACAUGGGGCGCCAUGAGCUGGAAUCGACUCAAUGCAAUUAGGAGAAGAGACACAGAAGGAAGGAACCUUCUGACAACAGAGACAAACAGUGGAGUGAUGCAUCUACAAGCCAAAAACACCGAGGAUCACUGGCUGUCAUCAGAAGCUCAGAGAGAUGCGUGGAACAGAUUCUCCUGCAGAGCCCUCAGGAGGAAUCAGCCCGGUCAACACCCUGAUUUUGGAUUCCCAGCAUCCAGAACUGAACCACAGGCUUUUCUGGAAUGUGGACAGAGGCUCCAGAGAGAACUGAACUAAUGGAGAAGGUAAUUGCUUCUCCUGGAGGCAGGCGACCACAAAUAAACACCAAAAUGUGGAAACAACUGAAAUGUCUAUCAACAGAUCAAUGGAUAAACAAAAUGUGGUACAUACAUACCAUGGAAUACUGCUCAGUCAUGAAGAGAAACGAAGUCCUGAUGCAUGCCACAACAUGGGUGAACCUUGAAAUCAUCAUGUUGAGCGAAAUAAGUCAGUUGCACAAGGACAAGUACUGUAUGAUCUCACUUAUAUAAAACAGGCAGACCAUUUCGGGACCACUCUGAUAUGAGACGCCAGAGGAGAGACUCACUACUUUGCCGAAGGGCAGGAAAAGCGAAGCCUGGAAGACUUCACUGAGAAGGUGGCAUUUAAGCUGGACUUAGAAGUAUGGGUUUGAUUUUGACACAUGCACACAGCAUUUGUAGGCUGAGGGAAGACUACAGUGGAUCCUGGCAGGGGUAAACAAUCAUGGCAUGUUCAGGGCAGCAGAAGAGCAGCGAGGAAUUGAAUGCAGAUACAUCAGCAGGUAUAUGGGGAUGGGGAGGAAGGAGAUCAGCAGGUGUAUGGGGAUGGAGAAGAAGGAGGCAAGCGCAAGAAAUGUAGACAGGGGACAAAUUGCACACUAUCUUGAGUGCUAUAUAAGAAGUUUAGAUUUUUAUGCAUGCAGGGGAAAACCAUCAGUAAUUUUUAAUUAGGGAAGUGAUAUUUUUAAAGUAUCUGUAUUCUAGAAACAUAAUUUGUGAAAUAGCAUGGAAGAAAAAGUGUUGAAAAAGAAACAGGACAGUGAAACUAUUCUGCAUGAUGCUGUCACGACGGACACAUGACAUUAAGCAUUUGUCAAAACCCAUAGGACUGUCCAACACAAAGAGUGACUCCAGCAAGAACUACGGACUUUAGUUAAUAAUAAUGUAUCGAUAUUGGCUCAUCAAUUGUAACAAAUGUACCAAGAAAUGCAAGAUGUUAAUAAUAGGAGAGACUCUGUGCACGAGAAAGGGCAUAUGGGAACCCUCUGCAUAUUCUGAUUACUUUAUCCAUAACCCUAAGACUGUUCUAAACAUAAAGUCUAUUAAUUAUUUUAAGAAGGGGGGGGGGAAGGAAAGAAGAGCCUUCAUUAUCUAGUAGGCUAUCUAGUAGACCAGAUAGAAAAUAGUGAGGAACUAAUUUUAAAAAGUAGAAAUGAGAAUGAGAGAUGGAUUUAAAAUACAUUUUGCAGGAAGAUUAUGGGGCUGAGGAAGAAGGAGGAAAUAUCUUUUUUCUUUUUUUUUCUGGUACAGGUGACUGAGUAGAUAGUAAUACUUUCGGGAUUACUAUACAAGCUAGGGAAUAAGGGGGAGAAUCCAGUUCAUGUAAGUUGACUUAGUGGUGCUAGGGGUAAAAAAUGUUCAGUAGUGUAUUGCAAAUGUGGCUGAAGUACAGGCAAGAUGUCUGGGCUACAGAUAACAGUUAUCCAGUUGCCGUUGAGUUGACUGUAACUCGUGGUGACCCCAUGUGUAUGUGUAUCAGAGUAGAGCUGUGCUCCAUGUGGUUUUCAAUGGCUGACUUUUCAGAAGUAGAUUACCAAUCCUUUCUUCCAAGGUGCCUCUGGAUGGACUUGAACCUCCAACCUUUUGGUUAGCAGCUGAAUGCAUUAGCCAUUUGUACCAUCCAGGGUCCAGAUCUGGAAAUGCUCAGCGAAUAUGAGAAGCCUGGGAAAAAGCCCAAGGAGAGUUUUCAAUGAGUGAAGAGAAGUCAUCACUGGGUGAGAAACUGAUAGAAGAAAGACAUGAAGGUGGAAGGAGUUACCAGAGAAGUAGGAAUCAGGGAGGAGAGUUGCAUAAAGAAGGAAUGCAUUAACAAGGAAAGGUGGCUUGGCUUUAUUAGCAGUUCACUGAGGAAUUGACAGAACAGUUUAGCAAGGCUAAAGAAAUGAUUUGGCUUUCUUUAUUUUAGGAUGGGUGAAAUUUAUGGUAAGUGAAUAGGUAAACUAAGGGGACUUUCCAAUGGGAAAGACCAUCAAGAUAUAGAAUCGGAAGGAGUCAGGUCCCAGAGGAGGGAGUAGAGGAUGGACUAAAAACACAAGUUGUUAUGGUUACAUAGGAGGUGGCUGUGGUUACAAAUUUUCCCCAAAACGCAUAAGAGGACUCUUGAGCCAAGAUGGCAGACUAGUCAGAUGUGACACACCAUUCACUACAGCAAAGGCCUGAGAAACCAGUAAAACAGAUACAGAUGUCAAUCCUGGAACCCUGAGCAUCAAAUGUGGGAAAAAGAACUAGAUCAAAUAUCUAAUGGAAGAAGAAACUGACUGAAAACAGCAAACAAGAAAGGACGGAGUGGAAGUGCACAGUCAACUGACCCAGCACAAUGUGGCCAUCUUGAGAAAAAGCGGUGAUCAGGGUGAGGAGCACAGGAGGCAACUUCACAGAAUUCCCAUCAGGACACAGAGAAACUGAGAAGACACACCUGAAGUGAAACAAGGCGAUUAGUGGCUCAAAAUCCCCAAACCUGUGGUGCAGACUGCCAGGGACCAUGGUACAAGUCUCUGCUUUUUUUUUUCCUCCCCCCCAUUAAGCCACCCAUCCCACCUUUCCUGCCCAACUGAGCAAGCUGAGUGCCAGCAGGAAGCUCUGGUGCCUACCCAGUCACCCACUGCUAUUUUUCCUCCUGCCCAGUUGAAUGCACAAGCUAGCCCCGUCCAUCACCCAUCCACCACCAGGCAAGUGCCAGUGACCGUGGGCCCAUGUGCUCACACACUCAUCACCCACCACCCUCUCCGCCCCAACCAAGUAAGUGGAGGCAUCCACGUGCUCCUACUCCCAGCCACUCACACCAGGGUGUCAUCUUCCACUCCCUCCAGUGGCCUGUGCCAGGGGCCUGAGGACCAGCAGCACACCCUCCCCCACAGGGUAAUCUACUGGACAGGAGCAUGCCUUCCAACCAGGCAUCUGUGGACUGGUGGCUUCCUUCUACCUUGUCCCCCUGCAUUGUCCCUGCUCUAUAACAGGAUGCUUGUGCCCUCUCAGACCACCCCACCCAGCCCAGCCUACCUGGAACCAUUGGUGAGAGUUUCCUUGACACCCACCUGGUGAUUGAUGACCUGGUCACCCUCACCCAGAACACCCAGCAAUUGACACAGUGCACACACAGCACCCAACCCAAUGGUCAGUGAGAACACUCCCUGCACCCACGCCCAGCAGACACAGCAUCUCACCAGAAAUGUCAACUACAUCCUCAGCUUCCCCACAAGACCAGUGAACACAGAACCACACUGACACACCCAGGUGCUGCC